GACGAACGCUGGCGGCGUGCCUAAUACAUGCAAGUCGAACGCUGAAGGAGGAGCUUGCUUCUCUGGAUGAGUUGCGAACGGGUGAGUAACGCGUAGGUAACCUGCCUGGUAGCGGGGGAUAACUAUUGGAAACGAUAGCUAAUACCGCAUAAUAGUAGAUGUUGCAUGACAUUUGCUUAAAAGGUGCACUUGCCUCACUACCAGAUGGCCCUGCGUUGUAUUAGCUAGUUGGUGAGGUAACGGCUCACCAAGGCGACGAUACAUAGCCGACCUGAGAGGGUGAUCGGCCACACUGGGACUGAGACACGGCCCAGACUCCUACGGGAGGCAGCAGUAGGGAAUCUUCGGCAAUGGACGGAAGUCUGACCGAGCAACGCCGCGUGAGUGAAGAAGGGUGUCGGAUCGUAAAGCUCUGUUGUAAGAGAAGAACGAGUGUGAGAGUGGAAAGUUCACACUGUGACGGUAGCUUACCAGAAAGGGACGGCUAACUACGUG
rnacentral:rRNA from 1 species